UCUUAUGGAUGAGCAAAGAAAGUGGUUUCUUGAGGUGGAAACUACUCCUACUCCUGGUGAAAAUGCUGGGGA
rnacentral:pre_miRNA from 1 species